UACAGAGGGGGCUAGCGUUGUUCGGAAUCUCUGGGUGUCAAGGGUGCGUAGGCUGUCCGUUAAGUCUGAUGUGAAAGCCCUGGGCUCAACUCAGGAAUUGCAUUGGAAACUGGCGGACUCAGAGUACCGGAGAGGGAAGCGGAAUUCCUGGUGUAGCGGUGAAAUGCGUAGAUACCAGGAGGAACACCGGUGGCGAAAGCGGUUUCCUGGCCGAGUACUGACGCUGAGGCACGAAAGCGUGGGGAGCGAACGGG
rnacentral:rRNA from 1 species